CGAACGGGUGAGUAACGCGUGAGGAACCUGCCUCAAAGAGGGGGACAACAGUUGGAAACGACUGCUAAUACCGCAUAAGCCCACGGGUCGGCAUCGACCAGAGGGAAAAGGAGCAAUCCGCUUUGAGAUGGCCUCGCGUCCGAUUAGCUAGUUGGUGAGGUAACGGCUCACCAAGACCGCGAUCGGUAGCCGGACUGAGAGGUUGAACGGCCACAUUGGGACUGAGACACGGCCCAGACUCCUACGGGAGGCAGCAUG
rnacentral:rRNA from 1 species